rnacentral:rRNA from 1 species
AUGGCGCUUCGGCCACCGCCGCACGGCAAGGGAUCGCCGCCCCAGCCGCCGCCUUCGGAUCUCACGAGAAGGGCCGCCCCUGCCGCCUCAGAUGAGAUCUCGCCGCACCCACCCGCCCAGGUGCCUUCGGCGUCGGGCCCCGCCGCCACCGCGGCCCUCGCCGGCGGCAGCGGCGGCAGAGGGAGGCGCGAGAGGAGGCCUGCGGCGCUAGGGUUCGGUGGCCCCUGGCGUUGCCUAGGGGGAGGCGACGCGAGGGGGAGGGGGGGCAUCCAAGCAUACCAUUGGUUUAGCGAUGUUGGUUUUAAACACAUCCGCCAUAACUGCUAA